rnacentral:rRNA from 1 species
CCCGCACAAGCGGAGGAACAUGUGGUUUAAUUCGAUGAUACGCGAGGAACCUUACCUGGGCUUAAAUGUAUUGUGCAUAGAGUAGAAAUACUCUUUUCCUUCGGGACUCUUUACAAGGUGCUGCAUGGUUGUCGUCAGCUCGUGCCGUGAGGUGUCGGGUUAAGUCCCAUAACGAGCGCAACCCUCAUUGUCAGUUGCCAGCACAUAAUGGUGGGGACUCUGAUAAAACUGCCGGUGCAAACCGUGAGGAAGGUGAGGAUGACGUCAAAUCAGCACGGCCCUUAUGUCCAGGGCUACACACGUGUUACAAUGGUCAGUACAGUGGGCAGCUACCACGCGAGUGGAUGCUAAUCUCCAAAACUGAUCUUAGUUCGGAUCGGAGUCUGCAACUCGACUCCGUGAAGCUGGAUUCGCUAGUAAUCGCACAUCAGCCAUGGUGCGGUGAAUACGUUCCCGGGCCUUGUACACACCGCCCGUCAAGCCAUGGAAGCUGGGGGUGCCUGAAGUCCGUGAUCCGCCAUCGGCGGAAGCGGCCUAGGGUAAAACUGGUAACUGGGGCUAAGUCGUAACAAGGUAACCAAGGGCGAA